rnacentral:rRNA from 1 species
GAUGAACGCUGGCGGCGUGCCUAAUACAUGCAAGUCGAGCGAACGGACGAGAAUCUUGCUUCUCUGAUGUUAGCGGCGGACGGGUGAGUAACACGUGGAUAACCUACCUAUAAGACUGGGAUAACUUCGGGAAACCGUAGCUAAUACCGGAUAAUAUUUUGAACCGCAUGGUUCAAAAGUGAAAGACGGUCUUGCUGUCACUUAUAGAUGGAUCCGCGCUGCAUUAGCUAGUUGGUAAGGUAACGGCUUACCAAGGCAACGAUGCAUAGCCGACCUGAGAGGGUGAUCGGCCACACUGGAGCUGGGACACGGUCAAGACUCCUACGGGAGGCAGCAGUAGGGCAUCUUCCGCACUGGGGGAAAGACUGACGGAGAAACGCCGCGUGAGUGAUGCAGGUCUUCGGAGCGUAAAACUCUGUUAUUAGGGAAGAAAAGAUGUGUAAGUAACUGAGCACAUAUUGACGGUACCUAAUCAGAAAGCCACGGCUAAAUACGUG